rnacentral:tRNA from 1 species
GGUAGGGCGGCCGAGGAGGUGGUGGAUUGUAACCCCAUAGACAGAGGUUUAAGCCCUCUCCCUACUA